rnacentral:rRNA from 1 species
AUUGAACGCUGGCGGCAGGCCUAACACAUGCAAGUCGAGCGGAUGAAGGGAGCUUGCUCCUGGAUUCAGCGGCGGACGGGUGAGUAAUGCCUAGGAAUCUGCCUGGUAGUGGGGGAUAACGUCCGGAAUCGGGCGCUAAUACCGCAUACGUCCUGAGGGAGAAAGUGGGGGAUCUUCGGACCUCACGCUAUCAGAUGAGCCUAGGUCGGAUUAGCUAGUUGGUGGGGUAAAGGCCUACCAAGCCGACGAUCCGUAACUGGUCUGAGAGGAUGAUCAGUCAACCUGGAACUGAGACACGGUACAGACUACUACGGGAGGCAGCAGUGGGGAAUAUUGGACAAUGGGCGAAAGCCUGAUCCAGCCAUGCCGCGUGUGUGAAGAAGGUCUUCGGAUUGUAAAGCACUUUAAGUUGGGAGGAAGGGCAGUAAGUUAAUACCUUGCUGUUUUGACGUUACCGACAGAAUAAGCACCGGCUAACUUCGUG